CCGGAGCUUGCUCCACCGGAAAAAGAAGAGUGGCGAACGGGUGAGUAACACGUGGGUAACCUGCCCAUCAGAAGGGGAUAACACUUGGAAACAGGUGCUAAUACCGUAUAACAAUCGAAACCGCAUGGUUUUGAUUUGAAAGGCGCUUUCGGGUGUCGCUGAUGGAUGGACCCGCGGUGCAUUAGCUAGUUGGUGAGGUAACGGCUCACCAAGGCCACGAUGCAUAGCCGACCUGAGAGGGUGAUCGGCCACAUUGGGACUGAGACACGGCCCAAACUCCUACGGGAGGCAGCAGUAGGGAAUCUUCGGCAAUGGACGAAAGUCUGACCGAGCAACGCCGCGUGAGUGAAGAAGGUUUUCGGAUCGUAAAACUCUGUUGUUAGAGAAGAACAAGGAUGAGAGUAACUGUUCAUCCCUUGACGGUAUCUAACCAGAAAGCCACGGCUAACUACGUGCCAGCAGCCGCGGUAAUACGUAGGUGGCAAGCGUUGUCCGGAUUUAUUGGGCGUAAAGCGAGCGCAGGCGGUUUCUUAAGUCUGAUGUGAAAGCCCCCGGCUCAACCGGGGAGGGUCAUUGGAAACUGGGAGACUUGAGUGCAGAAGAGGAGAGUGGAAUUCCAUGUGUAGCGGUGAAAUGCGUAGAUAUAUGGAGGAACACCAGUGGCGAAAGCGGCUCUCUGGUCUGUAACUGACGCUGAGGCUCGAAAGCGUGGGGAGCAAACAGGAUUAGAUACCCUGGUAGUCCACGCCGUAAACGAUGAGUGCUAAGUGUUGGAGGGUUUCCGCCCUUCAGUGCUGCAGCUAACGCAUUAAGCACUCCGGCCUGGGGGAGUACGACCGCAAGGUUGAAACUCAAAGGAAUUGACGGGGGCCCGCACAAGCGUGGAGCAUGU
rnacentral:rRNA from 1 species